UACGUAGGGGGCAAGCGUUGUCCGGAUUCAUUGGGCGUAAAGAGCGUGUAGGCGGCCAGGUAGGUCGGUUGUGAAAACUGGAGGCUCAACCUUCAGAGGUCGACCGAAACCAUCUGGCUAGAGUCCGGGAGAGGUGAGUGGAAUUCCCAGUGUAGAGGUGAAAUUCGUAGAUAUUGGGAAGAACACCGGUGGCGAAGGCGGCUCACUGGCUCGUAACUGACGCUCAUGCACGACAGCGUGGGGAGCAAACAGG
rnacentral:rRNA from 1 species